rnacentral:rRNA from 1 species
AUGAAGAUGACGCUGGAGUCGGUGGACGUUGUGCUCCACGACGCUGAGAGGGAGUCUAUCAAGCAUAAGUCCAUGCUUCUGUGGCUGAAGCAACUUAAGGAUGCCGCGAACGACAUCUCUCACAUGCUUGAAGAUUUUGAAGAUGAAACUGACCUCAACCUGGUAUUUGGCAAUGUUGUCUCUUGGGCUGCCCAAUUGAUCACUGAAGCUGGUGGCAAGGUGGUCUCCAUCAGAGAUGUCACAGGGGCUGUCAAGAACUCCAAUGGCAUUGACAUAGCCAAGCUGAUGAAGCACUCGGCAGAGAACCAUGGGUACAAAGGGGAAGCAGAUUUGUACUACAUCAAGCCUGGGUGCGUACCACCUGAAGGAAUGGUACAGAUGUCAGGUCAGCAUGACGUUGAUGAAAUGUUGCACGUUUUAGAAGGGAUAAAGAAAUGUCAUUUGUACAUUGUGAAGAAUUGUGCAUUCUUAGAUAAUAGCGAUGAUGACAUGUAUGAACAGGUUGGUUAUAUUGCCAAGUUCCUACUUAUUAUACAAAAAAUGGCCACAUCAUUUGCAUAA